GACGAACGCUGGCGGCGUGCCUAAUACAUGCAAGUAGAACGCUGAAGCGAGGAGCUUGCUCUUCUUGGAUGAGUUGCGAACGGGUGAGUAACGCGUAGGUAACCUGCCUUGUAGCGGGGGAUAACUAUUGGAAACGAUAGCUAAUACCGCAUAACAAUGGAUGACACAUGUCAUUUAUUUGAAAGGGGCAAUUGCUCCACUACAAGAUGGACCUGCGUCGUAUUAGCUAGUAGGUGAGGUAAUGGCUCACCUAGGCGACGAUACAUAGCCGACCUGAGAGGGUGAUCGGCCACACUGGGACUGAGACACGGCCCAGACUCCUACGGGAGGCAGCAGUAGGGAAUCUUCGGCAAUGGGGGCAACCCUGACCGAGCAACGCCGCGUGAGUGAAGAAGGUUUUCGGAUCGUAAAGCUCUGUUGUAAGUCAAGAACGGGUGUGAGAGUGGAAAGUUCACACUGUGACGGUAGCUUACCAGAAAGGGACGGCUAACUACGUG
rnacentral:rRNA from 1 species